GGCUCAUUAAAUCAGUUAUCGUUUAUUUGAUAGUACCUUACUACUUGGAUAACCGUGGUAAUUCUAGAGCUAAUACAUGCUGAAAACCCCGACUCACGGAGGGGUGUAUUUAUUAGAUUAAAAACCAAUGCCCUUCGGGGCUUUUUGGUGAUUCAUAAUAACUUCUCGAAUCGCAUGGCCUUGUGCCGGCGAUGGUUCAUUCAAAUUUCUGCCCUAUCAACUUUCGAUGGCAGGGUCUUGGCCUGCCAUGGUUACAACGGGUAACGGAGGGUUAGGGCUCGACCCCGGAGAAGGAGCCUGAGAAACGGCUACUACAUCCAAGGAAGGCAGCAGGCGCGCAAAUUACCCAAUCCCGAUACGGGGAGGUAGUGACAAUAAAUACUGAUACAGGGCUCUUUUGGGUCUUGUAAUUGGAAUGAGUACAAUUUAAAUCCCUUAACGAGGAACAAUUGGAGGGCAAGUCUGGUGCCAGCAGCCGCGGUAAUUCCAGCUCCAAUAGCGUAUAUUAAAGUUGUUGCAGUUAAAAAGCUCGUAGUUGAACCUUGGGCCUGGCUGGCCGGUCCGCCUCACCGCGUGCACUGGUUCGGCCGGGCCUUUCCCUCUGGGGAAUCCCAUGCCCUUCACUGGGUGUGGCGAGGAACCAGGACUUUUACUGUGAAAAAAUUAGAGUGUUCAAAGCAGGCCUAUGCUCGAAUACAUUAGCAUGGAAUAAUAGAAUAGGACGUGUGGUUCUAUUUUGUUGGUUUCUAGGACCACCGUAAUGAUUAAUAGGGACAGUCGGGGGCAUCAGUAUUCAAUUGUCAGAGGUGAAAUUCUUGGAUUUAUUGAAGACUAACUACUGCGAAAGCAUUUGCCAAGGAUGUUUUCAUUAAUCAGGAACGAAAGUUAGGGGAUCGAAGACGAUCAGAUACCGUCGUAGUCUUAACCAUAAACUAUGCCGACUAGGGAUCGGACGAUGUUAUUUUUUGACUCGUUCGGCACCUUACGAGAAAUCAAA
rnacentral:rRNA from 1 species